rnacentral:lncRNA from 1 species
AUGUUCCAGAGCACAGCAGCCGGACGUGAAGGAAGAGAAAGUGAGGCUCCUGAGAAGACCUGUGUUCUUGGGCUGACCUCUGCUGGAGGACGGCCAGGCCGUCUCUCUGGGCCUCCUGAGCCACAGUUAGGCAGCUGGUUUAUGAACCACGAAGCAGGCUUUACUCAGUGGCCACAUCAGCUUCUGCUGGAAUUCACAAACUGGUGCAUCUUUCACAUCAUCCAACAAAGGGUCACCCAUCUGCUCCCUGCUUCGGAAAGAGGGCAACUGUCAGGUCCCGCCCUGUCUGCAGUGACGUCCAUCUCUGCUUUAACUGUGCUGCCCCUGUGGACGGCAGGGAGGGCUUUGCAUCCGCUGACGGGGCCUCAGUGGGAGGCCGCAUGCCUGCUUCUUAUUGCAAGGAAGAACCAAAACGAUCAGAAGGGCUCCAGCCUCCUCCCCCAGGCCCACCGUGCACGGUGGGGCAGCCUUGUGGGUCAGUCUGAGAGGACAGCCACAGCCCAGGGGUGUCGGGGACUUUCACAGGCUGCACCGCCAUCCCACGGCCUCCCACCCCGAUGUCUCUGGGAUCAUCCUGAGCGUUGUGAGCUACGCCCCUCGUCACAAACACACCCGUGUACCACACAGGGCUCCCUCCAGAAGUGGCUGUGCAGGGAAACCCUGAGGCCCCCAUCUGCGCUGGCAUUUGCAGAGGUGACCCUGGCAGCCCCCUACUGUGUCCCGGGCAGGUCGGGUCACCUGCCCCCAGCACCAGCCUCUGCCACCUCAGUGGUGCCCACAGAACAGUGUCCCCCCUGCUCAGACAGCCCCAAUGUCUCUCGAAAUGUCACAUCACGUGGUACAAGCCGCUUUCCACCUUCUGGAGCCUCUCGGCCCCCUGUGAGCACAGACACCGAGCAGCUCCAACACCAGAAGGGCGGCGGCUGCCGGCGGGGAGGGAUGCCACCGAUGGCAGUCACAGGCUGGAGACUCAGGGUGAUGGGAGAGAAGGGACAUGGUCACCAGCGAGGACCAGCCUCCCAGCGACAGCUGAGAUGGGGCUGUGAUGUGUCGACCUCCUUCAACCUCCACUGUGGAAGUUUCCGGCAGGUUGGAAGGGGGGUGAGAAGCAUGUUGAUUCCCUCCACGCCCCAGCCAGUCUACCCCAAUAGAAGAGCCCUCGAUGGGAAGGAGGGGAGAUGGGGCGAGUGGACAGCCAUGUGGACUCCCCACACAGGACCACGCAGGCCUGGUUCACACCGUCAUCUGGAUGGACGGGCAGCCUCACUGGUCAUGCACAGAAGCUUCCAGGAUGGGGAGCGAGCUCUGGAGCCCCAAACCGGUCCAUCUGUUCCUGAGAGGCAGCGACAGCCCGGCAUGCAGGCUCUGGGCAGGAGGAAGGAUUCAGUUUCUGGGGAUGAGAAAGCAUGA